rnacentral:rRNA from 1 species
UAAGGAAUAUUGGUCAAUGGGCGAGAGCCUGAACCAGCCACGUCGCGUGAAGGAAGAAGGAUCUAUGGUUCGUAAACUUCUUUUUUAGGGGAAUAAAGUGCGGUACGUGUACCGUUUUGUAUGUACCCUACGAAUAAGGAUCGGCUAACUCCGUGCCAGCAGCCGCGGUAAUACGGAGGAUCCGAGCGUUAUCCGGAUUUAUUGGGUUUAAAGGGUGCGUAGGCGGAAGAAUAAGUCAGUGGUGAAAGUUUGCAGCUCAACUGUAAAAUUGCCGUUGAAACUGUUUUACUUGAGUGUAAAUGAGGUAGGCGGAAUGUGUUGUGUAGCGGUGAAAUGCUUAGAUAUGGCGAAGAACACCGAUUGCGAAGGCAGCUUACUAGGAUACAACUGACGCUGAGGCACGAAAGCGUGGGGAUCGAACA